rnacentral:rRNA from 1 species
UACGUAGGGUGCAAGCGUUGUCCGGAAUUAUUGGGCGUAAAGAGCUCGUAGGCGGUCUGUCGCGUCUGCUGUGAAAACUCAGGGCUUAACCCUGAGCUUGCAGUGGGUACGGGCAGACUAGAGUGCGGUAGGGGAGACUGGAAUUCCUGGUGUAGCGGUGAAAUGCGCAGAUAUCAGGAGGAACACCGGUGGCGAAGGCGGGUCUCUGGGCCGUAACUGACGCUGGAGGAGCGAAAGUGUGGGGAGCGAACAGG